UAUAUUAGAUUCCAUGAUCCUCUAAAUGUGAGAUUAACGAAAGCAUUUCAACAAAAACCCAAAAGCAACCUUCCAAACAACAGAGUUAAACAUAGCAUCAACCACCAUUUAUUUACAGCUUCUUUUUUCCUUGAUUAAAACCCAACAUUGGGUUUCCAUUUUUAACCUCGUUUUGACUGAUUUACCAGUUUUUCUGUGUUUCCUUUUGUCUCUUUCCUUAUCUUCUUCACCGCUUAUAACCCCCUUUCUUCUCCUAGUUUUUUGUGGCGGCCUUUUUUUCCCUUUUGGAAGCUAAAACCAAGUCUUCUUUUGUUGUUUCUUCCGCUAGGAUGUGACCCUUUGGAUUUGUAAGAUCAUUUUGAGAAUGUUUGAUUAGUGCUUAGUGUGUAGUGUUUUCGGAUUAUGGGACGCGAGAUGGUUGAGUCGUGGUUUGGUGGUUCGUGGUGGAAUCCAAGGAAGAGUGCUUCAGAGAGUACCGACAAAGUGGUGCUUGGAAUCUUGGCUUUUGAAGUUGCCGGUUUGAUGUCCAAGGUGGUGAAUUUAUGGCAUUCUUUGGAUGAUAGGGAGAUCUUUAGGUUGAGAGAAGAGAUUGCAAACUCGAUAGGAAUUCAAAGGCUUGUAUCCGAUGAUGAAAGUUACGUUAUGGAUCUUGCAUUGAACGAGGUAAUCGAGAAUUUUGGACAUCUGGCGACGUACGUGGCUAGGCUUGGGAAGAAAUGCACUGACCCUAUAUAUCAUCAUUUUGAAGCCUUCAUAAAUGAUCCGUUAUUGAACAAUAUGGAGUGGUUUGGGUGGGAAUAUCGAUGGAAAAAGAUGGAGAAAAAAAUGAAGAAAAUGGAGAGAUUUGUUGCGGUUACGAUGCAGUUGACACAAGAGUUGGAAGUGUUGGCGGAACUUGAGCAAACUCUUAGGAGGAUGCAGAGAAAUCCCGAGUUAGAUCGGGUGAAAUUACUCGAGUUUCAACAGAAGGUUAUAUUGCAGCGUCAAGAAGUAAAAAACCUACGCGAGAUGUCUCCAUGGGUUAGAACUUAUGAUUACAUUGUCCGAUUUCUGUUGAGAUCACUAUUAACGAUACUCGAGAGGAUAAAAAAUGUGUUCGGGACCAACCAAAUGGUACCGGUUGAGAGGAAUGAUGAUUUCGAAUCUGUUAAUAGUGAUUAUCUUUCACGCAGCCAUUCCUUUUCUACUGUAAUACCGUCUUCAGUAUACCCUUCCGAUCAUAAUCUAUGUGGGUUCUCAUCUGGACCUCUUGGCAGGUCAUUCUCGAAGUCCAUGUCUAUCACUGGAAAGCAUCGAACCAACAGCAAGCAUCUACAUUCUCAUUAUCACUCCACUGCUUUACACGGCAAGCAGCCACAUUCGAGAACAAAACGAGCAGGUCAAUCUGCGUUUGGUCCUUUUAAAGGAUGCAUGUUGGCAGGAAGUAUUUCUCCCGUUUUAGAUAGCUACAAACCAAUUGGCACUAUAUCUACAAGGUUCAGCGGUGCUUACCCCAAAAAUAUCGACAAUUUGAAGAUGGAGCCAUUGUCCCGUAGCUAUAAUAUAUACUCUAAGCUAUCCAUUUUCAAUACCAAACGGUUGUUGAAUGCUCCUAUAUCGACACUUGGUGGUGCUGCAUUGUCUCUCCGUUAUGCAAACUUGAUUAUUUUGAUAGAGAAACUAGUUUCGUCGCCUCACUUGAUCAGCGUCGAUACAAGAGACGACCUAUACACUAUGUUACCUACCACUAUGAGAAAUGCUCUUCGUGUUAAACUGAAGCCGUUUGCAAAGUCUUUAGCUUCAUCAAUAUACGAUGCUUCCCUUGCAGCGGAGUGGAGCUUGGCACUAGUGCGGAUUUUGGAAUGGUUGGCUCCUCUUGCUCACAAUACGAUUAGGUGGCAAUCCGAGCAUAACCUUGAAGAGCAGCAUAUAGUUUCUGGGUCAAAUAUACUUUUGGUACAGACACUACACUUUGCGGAUCAAGCAAAAACUGAGGCAGCUAUCACGGAGCUUCUUGUUGGCCUUAAUUACGUGUAUAGGAUUGGCGGAGCCCACAAUGACAAAUCUUUGCCAGAAUCUGCUGGCAAUGGCUGUGCCCAAUAUUUGCUCAAAAGGGAUGACAAGAGAUGACACUCAACUUCGUGAAGCAUUUAUGAAUGCCACCCCGAGACUUGUUCCAACAUCCACAACGAGGAAGAAGUCAAUCCCAUCAUUAAGUUUUGCUUCCGAUGGUUUGAGCAAGGUCCCGAUCAAGUGGAGUGAUGUUGCUCCCAAGCUUAUAAAGGUAUGAGGCGGUGCCAUGGAACUUAAAGGCUACAUGAUCGUGAAGUUAUAGUCUCGGCACAUGACACAAAAGUUCGAGUCUAUAGCCUUUCGAGUGAUGCCCUAGCUCCUAGUGGCUAGACCAAGAUGAACCACCUUGUGUGAGUUAAUCCGAUGCCUAAACAAAUCCAUUUUCAACAUUCAAAGGAGCAUCAACUCAAAAUUCUGUCCUUUGCGAUCUUGGCAAUGUAGUCGGUUCCGUAUGAGUUCAGAUCGGUGUGUACCGUUCCAAUAAUAAACCAACGCAACAAAUUUCCCUUUUCAUAUCGGUUAAAAUUUUGGUCUGUAACGGUUGCAUUGGUUUGAACUGGUGCACCGGUUGGUCCAUGAAUAAUAUUAAAAAAUAUAAAAUUUUUAACAUUUUA